rnacentral:lncRNA from 1 species
UGCCUUGACACUGAAGCAAAACAGGAGAUGCUCAAGUCACUGUCUGCGACUCUGCAGCAGGAUUUCAGGAGUUCAAAUCUUGUCAUCGACAAAGAUCUGGAGUUAGAAGUGGUAUUGCCUGUUAGAGAGGACAUGGUUUUGUCAGAGAACCCACUUACUGGAGCCGAAACUGCAGAGGCUUUGAGAGAAAUCCAUCUGCUGCAAGAGUCCUCAUGGAUCUCCCACAUGAUAAAGGCUAACGAGAAGGGUAAAGAUGUGUCACUUUCUUGGGAGUAUCAGAAUGAAGAUCCAAAAGAUGAGUUCAAGCUCUCACCUGGCUGGGACAACAGUCAACUUGAUCCAGCCCCCAAUAAUAUUCCUUCAGAAGCUGAGCAGUUUCAACAAGGUUCAACUCC